AGUUAAGUCAUUUAAAUUUUGGCAUAGAAGUUUGUUCGGGGUCACUACUGGCACAAAAUUUGUAAAUCUUUUCUGAUGAUGAUGCAGAUGUUUUUCUGUCAUUGCUAUGAUCAUUACAAAAGUUAGUGAAAAAUAAACCAGAACCCCAAGUUGGAUUCUGUUUGGGUGAGAGCUUGUUUUGGAAUGUUCAGUGGGAAAAAGCCAUAUUUGGUAGAAUGAAGUAAUUGCGUUUCCAUGCUGUGAAAAGUGCAGGACAUUCUGAAAGCUUUUAAUGAAUCAGGGAGACAGUGUCCUGAACAUGGAUAAAGAGCCUUUAUCACAUCCCUAAAGGAACAGACAGACCCUUUUACUGGCUACAGUCUUCACUAUCCCUAUAAGGUUACAGUGGAAAAUCACCAACCCGGCUUCGGUCACUUGCUUUCUUCUUUAACAACGGUGUUCUUCCACAUGCACCCCCCGACACACAGACACACACACACACACACACACACACAUACACACAAUACAUUAAACUUAUUGCAUACGCACUGGAGUACAAUGGUGUAUCAUUAUGUAUCAUGGUCUCCUGAAUGAAUCUUUGCUAUUACGUAAGAGUGCACAGCUUGCAGUUGGACUUUUACCAGCGCAGCUGAGGCCAAAGUACCUGAGGAUUUCCUUUGGCAACUCUACUGUGAAAAGUUACUGUUUAAUUCUGCACUGUGUGAGAGUGUGACUGUGUGGGAAUGUAUGCAAGUACAUUAAUCCAUGAUGCCUCUAGAAAUGUUCCAGCUUAUAUACAAGCUAAUUCAGUCUCAGGCUCGGUGUGUGUGUGUGGCAUGUAGCUCUGGAAUGUUUAAAUUGUGUGGAAAAGUUGGUAAUUUGGUUUGUCCAGCAUAGGGCUUUCUUGGAACUUGAGAGAGUUUGACACUCAGCCUGCUUCUUCUGGGAGCUUUGUGAGCUUAUCAGCUACCUGAGGAAAUCAUCAAGGACUUCUCCACUAACAUACCAAGAAGCCUUUUGCCAUAUCAGUAGCUGUUGCUCCCGAGAAGAAUGUUUAUAUGCAAAUUAUACAAGGAGAAACUGCUGAUCUCCUGGUAUUUUUACACACAACAGUCUGUAGAGAUUACACAAAAGGGUGCAAAAAAAAAAAAAAAAGGUCUGGUGGCAAAAAUGCCUUAUUGUCAAGAGAGGUCAGAUGAGAAUGGCCAUACUGGUUGACACGAAGGCUAUGAUAACUCAGAUAACCACUCUGUAUCACCACGGUGAGCAGAAAAGCAUCUCAGAAUGCACAGCACAUCAGAACUUGAGGUGGAUGGGCUACAACAGCAGAAUACCACAUCAGAUUCCACUACUGUCCGAAAAGAACGGGAAUCUGAGGCUACAGCGGGCACACGCUCACCAAAACUGGACAGCUGAAGAUUGGAAAAAAUACCAAGCGACUUCGCUGUAGCAGAAAAAUUACAGACUAUUGACUUUUUUUUUUUUUUUUCUUAUUAGGCUUAGAUUAUGUGGGGCCUCUGCUAUAUAAGUCCCUGUGAAUUAGUUACUACUGAAUUACUGGAUUACUACAGAAAUGAUAACGUAUUAAAAUGAGCACUUUAAUAUAAACAUAUCAUUUGAAUUACUGCUGUAGUAUGAAUCAUUGUAAAUUAAAUUUGGACAGUGGACAGUGUAAUAAAAUAAGCAUAUUACAGA